UUAGGGAGACCUACCCAACUUUGAAAUCGAGGACACACAGUUAAUAGAUACAAAGAUGGUCAUUCCUAGGUCGGUCGCAGGGACUUGUUGAAGCUUUCAAACUAUGAUUUGGUUCGUUUAUGGGCUAUUAGCUCAGGUGGUUAGAGCGCACCCCUGAUAAGGGUGAGGUCCCUGGUUCGAGUCCAGGAUGGCCCACCUGAAUCAAUGCAAAAUUAAAAAUUCAAAAUUCAAAAUUAAGAAAUUGUUUUUGAAUUUUGCAUUUAGAAUUUUGAAUUGUGUUGGGGGGUUUAGCUCAGUUGGUAGAGCGCCUGCUUUGCAAGCAGGAUGUCAGCGGUUCGAGUCCGCUAACCUCCACCUUGAUAGCGUUAGCUAUAAAAAGAAUGGAUUAGAUUCAGCAACAAGGCUGUGAGCCAGACUGCUGGGUUAGUUAUCCAGCCAGAACCUUGAAAACUGCAUAGGAAUGCGAAGCAGGCAGACACAGACAUUGAUUAUUGGAAGUGUUUGCAAUGAAUAGUGGUCAAGCUAAUAAGAGCUGACGGUGGAUACCUAGGCACACAGAGGCGAAG
rnacentral:misc_RNA from 1 species